rnacentral:misc_RNA from 1 species
CAGAAUUCCAUUACUCGAUCCGGCUGCAAUAGUUAACCCUUAGUGAUCAGCACAAACACAUUCCAACUAUCACAGAAUUCCCUUGCUAAAGACAGUAGUAGCAUACGGAGAAUAAUGAAAAAAGCCAUCAUGGACAUGAUAACCUUGCUCAGUUCCAUACUCAAAAUAGAUCAAUUAAACAGUCAACAAAUACUUCAUACAGAAUUUUAAGAAACAACACAAGUCCAAACUCAUGCUAGGCAUCUAUUAUAAUGCUUGAAAGAAAACAGAAAACACAGAAGCAAUCUAAACAACUGAAUCAAAAGAGAUAAGCACACCUUGGAUUAAAUAGACUCUCAUCCAAUACAACCACCAUAUAUACCUAAGGAAGUUGGCCACACUGAUCCCAGUCAGAGAAUGAAGACACUUCAAAUUAUCAUUUACAUAAUGAUUCUUUUGAAAGUUCAGGUCUCGUAAAAAAGAAAGGGGUAUGG